UACAGAGGGUGCGAGCGUUAAUCGGAAUUACUGGGCGUAAAGGGCGCGUAGGCGGUUAAUUAAGUUAGAUGUGAAAUACCCGGGCUUAACCUGGGAGUGGCAUAUAAUACUGAUUAGCUAGAGUAGAGUAGAGGGAAGUGGAAUUUCCGGUGUAGCGGUGAAAUGCGUAGAUAUCGGAAAGAACACCAGUGGCGAAGGCGGCUUUCUGGACUCAUACUGACGCUGAGGCGCGAAAGCAUGGGGAGCAAACAGG
rnacentral:rRNA from 1 species